rnacentral:tRNA from 1 species
GGCGACAUGGCCGAGCGGUCUAAGGCGCUAGAAUCAGGAUCUUAUCCACAUCUAGUCUUUCGGGGCGUGAGUUCGAAUCUCACUGUCGUCA